AUGAAAAUCUUAAGCUGGAAUUGCCGAGGUUUGGGGACGCCCUCGGCAAUUCGGUCGCUGUCGGAAUUACUACUGCAGCAUAGUCCUGAUGUUCUUUUCCUCACAGAGACUCACUUGAAUGAUUCGAGCGGGGAAAGAUUGCGUGUGAAGCUUGGUUUUGAUAGUAAGUUUGUUUCACCGAGCGAUGGAAGGAGUGGAGGUUUGAUCAUGAUGUGCAAGAACAAUGUUAAUAUGCAGCUGAAUUAUUAUCACGACAACUUUAUUGAUGUUGUGGUCAAAGGAGCGGAUCCUAGUACAGACUGGAGGUUAACGGGUAUGUAUGGUGAGCUGGUUUGGAGACAUAAGCAUCGUACAUGGAAACGUUUCUGUGAUCUACAUGCCAAGGGUAAUCUGCCUUGGGUUGUGAUAGGGGAUCUAAAUGAGAUUUUGUAUUCAUCAUAG
rnacentral:rRNA from 1 species